rnacentral:rRNA from 1 species
CCUACGGGUGGCAGCAGUGGGGAAUAUUGCACAAUGGGGGGAACCCUGAUGCAGCGACGCCGCGUGAGCGAGGAAGUAUUUCGGUAUGUAAAGCUCUAUCAGCAGGGACGAAAAAAGACGGUACCUGACUAAGAAGCCCCGGCUAACUACGUGCCAGCAGCCGCGGUAAUACGUAGGGGGCAAGCGUUAUCCGGAUUUACUGGGUGUAAAGGGAGCGUAGACGGGAAGGCAAGCCAGGAGUGAAAGGGCAGGGGUCAACCCUGUACAUGCGUUUGGAACUGUGGUGCUAGAGUGCAGGAGAGGUAAGUGGAAUUCCUAGUGUAGCGGUGAAAUGCGUAGAUAUUAGGAGGAACACCAGUGGCGAAGGCGGCUUACUGGAGUGUAACUGACGUUGAGGCUCGAAAGCGUGGGGAGCAAACAGGAUUAGAUACCCCAGUAGUC